rnacentral:Y_RNA from 1 species
GGCUGGUCUGAAGGUAGUGAGUUACCUCAACUGACUGUUCAGUCGGUUACAGAUUAAACUCCUGUUCUACACUUUCCCCCACUCUCACUAUUGCACUUGACUAGCCUUAA